rnacentral:rRNA from 1 species
CUACGGGCUGCAGCAGUGAGGAAUAUUGCACAAUGGGGGGAACCCUGAUGCAGCAACGCCGCGUGGAGGAUGACGCAUUUCGGUGUGUAAACUCCUUUUAUAUGUCAAGAAAAUGACGGUAGCAUAUGAAUAAGCACCGGCUAACUCCGUGCCAGCAGCCGCGGUAAUACGGGGGGUGCAAGCGCUACUCGGAAUCACUGGGCGUAAAGGACGCGUAGGCGGGUUGGAAAGUCAGGUGUGAAAUCCUACAGCUUAACUGUAGAACUGCACUUGAAACUUCUAAUCUAGAGUAUGGGAGGGGGAGAUGGAAUUAGUGGUGUAGGGGUAAAAUCCGUAGAUAUCACUAGGAAUACCUAAAGCGAAGGCGAUCUCCUGGAACAUUACUGACGCUAAGGCGUGAAAGCGUGGGGAGCAAACAGGAUUAGAUACCCCAGUAGUC